UACGGGGGGGGCAAGCGUUGUUCGGAAUUACUGGGCGUAAAGGGCUCGUAGGCGGCCAACUAAGUCAGACGUGAAAUCCCUCGGCUUAACCGGGGAACUGCGUCUGAUACUGGAUGGCUUGAAUCCGGGAGAGGGAUGCGGAAUUCCAGGUGUAGCGGUGAAAUGCGUAGAUAUCUGGAGGAACACCGGUGGCGAAGGCGGCAUCCUGGACCGGAAUUGACGCUGAGGAGCGAAAGCCAGGGGAGCAAACGGG
rnacentral:rRNA from 1 species